rnacentral:rRNA from 1 species
ACCCGCUGAACUUAAGCAUAUCACUAAGCGGAGGAAAAAAAAUUAACUAAGAUUGCCUCAGUAACGGCGAGUGAAGCGGCAAGAGCCCAAAAUGUAAAUCUUCACGCUGCGCGUGACGAAUUGUAAUCUAAAGAUGGUUCGCUCAACGGGUGGUGGCGCAGAAGUGCCCUAGAACGGGCCGCCAGAGAGGGUGACAGCCCCGUAUGUGGUGCCACUGCCUAACGAGCGAGUUAUCGAAGAGUCGGGUUGUUUUGUAUUGCAGCCCUAAGUGGGAGAUAAACUUCUUCUAAGGCUAAAUAUAUAUGGGAAACCGAUAGCGAACAAGUACUGUGAAGGAAAGAUGAAAAGAACUUUGAAAAGAGAGUCAAAAGACUUGAAAUCGUUGAGAAGGAAGCGGCAGGAAUUUAUUCUUCGGCGGAGGACGGUGACGGCUGCCUAACCAUUGCUGGCUGUCAGUACUGCAUAAGGCUGCGGCUAGUACUUGGGGAAGCGGCCGUCUUGCCCUCCGUCGUGAGGCAAGAUGGGGUCGUGUUCCCGCAGAGGCUGCCCCGACCUGGCCUGAUUCGUUAGGCAGUCGGGGUGUGCUGGCGGGCGUGCGGCCUGAGGGUGCCUCGUGCGAUCUUGCCAAAAUGGUUCU